CAUUUACAUGGCAAAAAGGCUAGGACGCUUGAAUGAAAAAGAGGGUGCAGGAAAGCGAAAAAGGAUUUCAUUUCCUUUAGAGCUUAAUUUCACUUCAUCGAACUGAACUAGUGGAACUUUAAACAUUAAUAACUGCAAGGACUUGUGCAAUGGACCCUCCACAUAAACAGAUUACAGAACGUGUUAUCGUUGAUGUGGUGAAGUUUCCUGGAAAGAGAAUAUUAUAAACAUUAACAUUUAUGGAAGGAGUCUCCAGUGUCAGCGCUCUGUAACAGCCAGAGGUAAAGCUGUAACUGUAAGUUUUCCGACAUCUUCAGGACAGAGGAGAAGGAAUGACUGUUUCUAGCUGCUAUAAUUAUGUUAUUACGAACCACAGAUGACAUCAUGCUUUUCCCAUCAGCCACAAGUGCUUAUUAGCCUCCUGUAUGCAAGGCUGCCGUGUUUCCCCCUGAGGCCUGACGGAUCACUUCCACAUACAGAGGAAUCGUACAGCUGACUGAGUCCCACACACACACACACACACACACACACUAUAAUCAUGCUUGUGACUGAGUUCCACACGCACACACAUACAUACAUACAUACACAUUACAGACAUGUGGAAAACUUCCCAGGCUAAUCUGUAAAGCCAGUAGCUGCUCUGUGACUGUAUGGUAAAGGAGGGUAAAGGAGGUAGCAAAAAAAUGUCAAAUUGUGUAUGAUAAAAUAUUAGUAGUAAAAAUAAAAUCACGCAACAUGCACUCAUGGUUGCAAAUUUGUAACAGUCCCAUAAAGCAUGGCGAGGUUAUGAUGUCAUUUGCAUGAAAUCUUGUUUGAUCAAAUUCAUAAUAAUUCUUCUCGAGAUCAGGUUGCAAAAAUGAGAACUUUAAAUUUAUUGCAUUUUUUAAGAGUUGAAUUUUGUUCAAGUGCACAUGCCAGAAGAUUACACUGAGUGUGUGUGUGUGUGUGAGAGAGAGAGAGAGAGAGAGAGACUCUUUUGUCUAAUUUUCAAUGGCUCCCUGUAAUAGAAGGAUAACCACCCGAGGAGUAAAUGCAAUCUACAAUAAUAUGCCCUUAUAAAAUGCCUGAACCACCUCAGCUGUCUCCAUCUUUAAGAAGGAUCUACUCCAAAGAUCUUUUU